rnacentral:rRNA from 1 species
GACGAAGGGGGCUAGCGUUGUUCAGAAUUACUGGGCGUAAAGCGAGUGUAGGUGGUUGUCACAGUCAGGUGUGAAAGCCUUGAGCUCAACUCAAGAAAUGCACUUGAUACUAGGCGACUAGAGGACCGGAGAGGAUAGUGGAAUUCCCAGUGUAGUGGUGAAAUACGUAGAGAUUGGGAAGAACACCAGUGGCGAAGGCGGCUAUCUGGACGGUUUCUGACACUAAGACUCGAAAGCGUGGGGAGCAACAGG